rnacentral:rRNA from 1 species
UACGAAGGGGGCUAGCGUUGUUCGGAUUUACUGGGCGUAAAGCGCACGUAGGCGGUUUGUUAAGUCAGGGGUGAAAUCCCGGAGCUCAACUCCCGGAACUGCCUUUGAUACUGGCAAGCUAGAGUCCGGAAGAGGUAAGUGGAACUCCUAGUGUAGAGGUGGAAUUCGUAGAUAUUAGGAAGAACACCAGUGGCGAAGGCGGCUUACUGGUCCGGAACUGACGCUGAGGUGACGAAAGCGUGGGGAGCAAACAGG